rnacentral:lncRNA from 1 species
UAGCUAGCUAGCUGACAACAACGCGUCGCGACGAUAUCCACAAAGUCGGAGAAUGGAUUGAAACUAAAGAGCUGAAAGAAGUUAACAACAUGAAGCAGAAAGUCCCAUGCAGGAUGAUGCUUCUCUACAGUGGGUGAUGAAGGCAUGCUGGUUUACAAACUCAGGAGAGGAACAAAGAAGAGAUAUUGACGGGAUCAUAUCUAGAGAUGCGGGCCUACUACACUUCAUACGAGCAAGUGUGCUAAUAUACAUACUUGGGUUAUCACUA